rnacentral:rRNA from 1 species
AUUGAACGCUGGCGGCAGGCCUAACACAUGCAAGUCGAGCGCGCGGCGGACGGGUGAGUAAUGUAUGAGACUCUGCCAGAGAGAGGGAGAUAACUACUGGAAACGGUGGAUAAUACCGCAUUCUCUCGUAUGAACCCAUAUGGGAUUAGCUAGUAGGUGGGGUAAAGGCUCACCUAGGCGACGAUCUCUAGCUGGUCUGAGAGGAUGACCAGCCACACUGGGACUGAGACACGGCCCAGACUCCUACGGGAGGCAGCAGUGGGGAAUAUUGCGCAAUGGGGGCAACCCUGACGCAGCCAUGCCGCGUGAAUGAAGAAGGCCUUCGGGUUGUAAAGUUCUUUCGGUAGCGAGGCGUUAACUACAGAAGAAGCACCGGCUAACUCCGUGCCAGCAGCCGCGGUAAUAC